CCUACGGGAGGCAGCAGUGGGGAAUAUUGGUCAAUGGACGAGAGUCUGAUCCAGCCAAGUAGCGUGAAGGAUGACUGCCCUAUGGGUUGUAAACUUCUUUUAUGUGGGAAUAAAAUGUUCAACGUGUGGGAUUUUGUAUGUACCAUAUGAAUAAGGAUCGGCUAACUACGUGCCAGCAGCCGCGGUAAUACGGAGGAUCCGAGCGUUAGCCGGAUUUAUUGGGUUUAAAGGGAACGUAGGUGGAUUGUUAAGUCAGUUGUGAAAGUUUGCGGCUCAACCGUAAAAUUGCAGUUGAAACUGGCAGUCUUGAGUACAGUAGAGGUGGGCGGAAUUCGUGGUGUAGCGGUGAAAUGCGUAGAGAUCACGAAGAACUCCGAUGGCGAAGGCAGCUCACUGGACGGCAACUGACACUGAGGCUCGAAAGUGUGGGGAUCAAACAGGAUUAGAUACCCGAGUAGUC
rnacentral:rRNA from 1 species